AUUUUACCAGAAAACACAAUUUCUCUACUAAUCAGAAAAAAAGUUUUGUAACCUCAAAACAAACGUUUACUCACCAAGCUGUAAAUAGCUUAAAUGGCUUAAAUUGGAGAUUUCUGUGGGAUUUUGAGCAGUCAGUAGGACAGUUCCUAAACUCUUCAGUUAUAGAAUAUUCAAGGCAUACAAAAGUGUUGUUUUUCUACACAGCAUAACUGAAAUGUAGUUUAACCAAUGAUUUACAAGGCAGUCAAAUACCAAAGCUGGAAAGCAUUUAGGGAACCAUAAAUUAUGUAUUUUCUAUACCUUCGAAAACCUUUCAGCUGUUCUCAAUCUUUUGUUUUCAUUGGCCAAGUAUGACUGCCGUAAAAUGACCGUAUUCACUAGCCCGCCACCUAAAAAGCAUUAAGCAUUCAUUUACAGAAUGAACGAACGAGCACGUUUGCUUUGGUUCUUGAAGUAGAAUUCCCUCGUGUAAGUAUAUUUUCUUUAUUUACAAAGUAUUAGGCUUAUUUUACAUGACUGCGCGCGCUUACAGUCCCGGCAUCACGAAGCAGGAGUUCCCGACCCUGUAGCGCCCAAGGAUGCCCAGUUCAGCCAUAAAAGUGCAAGCUGGGUAGUAUGUUUGGUGCUUGGAUUUCGGAGGUGCUAGGGGGGCAGAGAAGGGCCACUUCCUGGUGUCUGGGGGAAGGAGAAGCGCCCCCGCCCCCCGUUCGGAACGCUCUCCAUCUCCAGUCCCUCAGAGGAAGUCGUGGCGAAGAAGCUGCUUCCAGGCCCCGCGCGCGCCUCUCCAGGUGCCCGUCCCGCUCCCGCGGCGCCUUCGUCCGGGAGGCUCUUCGCGGCGACCGGACCCGGCCGACUUCCCUUCCAGCCGAGGCGCCUCCUUCCGCUCAGCGCCGCGCGGCUCCGCUCGGGACGUGUCCGCGCCUCCGCGACCUCCGGAGCCACUUCGGGGCGAUGCUGGGGCCGCCGGUCUGGGCGCUGGUGGCCGGCGUCCUGCUGGCGCUGUCGCCGGGCCGGGCGGGGGGCGCCCCGAGGGCGGGCCGGCGGCCGGCGCGGGUGCGGGGCUGCGCGGACCGGCCCGAGGAGCUCCUGGAGCAGCUGUACGGGCGGCUGGCGGCCGGCGUGCUCGGCGCCUUCCACCACACGCUGCAGCUGGGCCCGCGCGAGCAGGCGCGCAACGCCAGCUGCCCGGCCGGGGGCAGGCCCGCCGACCGCCGCUUCCGGCCGCCCACCAACCUGCGCAGCGUGUCGCCCUGGGCCUACAGACGCCCCAGUUCCUUGAGCACCUGUACCUUGCCAGGAAAGACCCCAGAGUGGAGGGAGCAGGGCGCGGCCGGGGCAGGUAGCUGUCAGGAACCCAGCAUCGCGUGGUUCUGCCUGGGGAGGCUUUGCCCCUCGCGGGCCUGGGCCAGGAGCUACGCCUGCGUCGUUUUUCAGACAUUUCGAGCCUCGUGAGCUUGCGCCUCGGGGAGCGCGGGGAGGCCCGAUGGCUCCACGCUCUGCGGGAAGGAUGGUUUCCAGGAUGGGCACGGGCCGGGACCGCAGGUGGCUGGCCGCUGAAGCCGGCCCUGCCUGGUGCUGCCGGGAGACCCCGCCCUGCGCCCUGACCUCGGAUCACCUCCCCACUUCUCGAGUUUCUGGGAAGAUUAGAAAAAGCAAUACACGUGGCACCCCGGAGCCUCUUCUAAGCAGUGUGCUUAGACGUUACUGCCGGGCGGGAUCGAGGGCGGAAGAGCGGCCUCACCUGUGCUGUGUCAGCUCAGACUCAGAAGUGCUAUUUAAGGCUACAAACAGAGAACUCUUAAAGAUGGAUGGGGAAAUGGACUACACGUCAAACCUGAAAGGCACAGAAAGGACCACUUCACCUGGGUAAGCUAGGCUUUAAAAUAGAAAUUUGGAGUAUAAGGUGGCUUUCCGUAUCUUUAGGGGAGAAAUGGAUCAUUCGAUAAAUAGCGUUGGGACUGGGUAACCAGCUGAAAAGAUACAAUUGGAUCUCACUCUUGUAUGGAAAUAAGUUCCAGAUGACUCAGACUUAAACGUGAAAAGUAAAAAUACAUAAAAACACAGUCAAUUAUAUUUAUACUCUUGAGUGGAGAAGGCCUCUUUAGUAGCUCACAGGCCCCCAAAGUCAUUAAAGAGGAGAUUGAUAAAUUUAAUUACAUAAUUAUCUGCCAUUUCUUCUUGGCAGAAUUGGAAAAAAAAAAUACAAGGGCAAACUGGGAAGAAAUACCUGCAACCCAUGUGACAAAGGGCUUGUUUCAUGAAGAGCUCCUACAAACCAAGAAAAAGACCCAAUGAAUUGGUAUAGAUGAUCUUAUUUACAAAGCAGAAAUAGAGACACAGACGUAGAGAACAAAGGGGGCCUGGCUUCGGUCCCUGGUUGGGGAACAAGAUCCUGCAUGCCACAAGGAAGAUCCUGAGUGCCGGAACUAAGAGCCGGUGCAGCCAACUAAAUAAACAUUAAAGGGGCUUCCCUGGUGGUGCAAUGGUUAAGAAUCUGCCUGCCAAUGCAGGGCACAGGGGUUCGAGCCCUGGUCCGGGAAGAUCCCACAUGCCGCAGAGCAACUAAGCCCGUGUGUCACAACUACUAAAGCCCACGCGCCUAGAGCCCGUGCUCCGCAACAGGAGAAGCCACCGCAAUGAGAGGCCCGCACACCGCAAUGAAGAGCAGCCCCCGCUCCCUGCAACUAGAGAAAGCCUGCACAGCAACAAAGACCCAACACAGCCAAAAAUAAAUUAAAAAGAAAAAAAAAAAGCCAACUCUUAUUAAAAAAAAAAAAAAAUCACUGUACUGAGAGAGCUUUUUUGGCGGGGGCACCCAUCCAGCCGAGCUGGCACGAUGUGAGGGGAAGGCUCUCCCUAUCCUGGGGGUGUCACUGGUACAGCUUUUAUGCAGGACAGUUAGGUAUUAACUAUGACAAUUUCAAAUCCCUAUUUUGCCCCUCCCCCUUCCCUCUCCCCAUUGGUAACCAACCACUAGUUUGUUCUCUGUGUCAGUCUGUUUUGUUAUAUUCUUUUCUUUUUUCAGAUUCCACAUACAAAUGACAACAUGGUAUUUGUCUUUCUCUGUCUGAAUUAUUUCACUAAGCAUAAUACCUUCCAGGUCCAUCCACAAUGCUGCAAGUGGCAAAAUUUCUUUCUUUUUCUAAGGCUAAUAUUCCACUCUAUAUGUAUAUAUGUCUUCUUUAUCCAUUUGUCUGUUGAUGGACACUUAGAUUGCUUCCAUAUCUUGGCUCAUGUAAAAAAUGCUGCAGUGAACAUUGGGGUGCAUGUAUCUCUUCAAAUUAGUGUUUCUUUUAUUUUUGGAUAUAUACCCAGGAGUGGAAUUGCUGGAUCAUAUGGUAGUUCUAUUUUUGUUUUUUGUUUUUUUUUUGAGGAAUCCUCACACUGUUCUCCACAGUGGCUGCACCAAUUUACAUUCCCACCAACAGUGCACAAAGGUUCCCUUUUCUCCACAUCCUCGCCAGCAUUUGUUAUUUGUGUUCUUUGUGUGUGUGUGUGUGUGUGGUAUGCGGGCCUCUCACUGCUGUGGCCUCUCCCGUUGCAGAGCACAGGCUCUGGACGCACAGGCUCAGCGGCCAUGGCUCAGGGGCCCAGCCGCUCCGCGGCAUGUGGGAUCUUCCCGGACUGGGGCACGAACCCGCGUCCCCUGCAUCGGCAGGCUGAUUCUCAACCACUGCGCCACCAGGGAAGCCCUGUGUUCUUUUUGAUGAUAGCCAUUCUGACAGGUAUGAGGUGAUAUCUCAUUGUGAUUCUGAUUUGCAUUUCUCUGAUUAGCAUUGUUGAGCAUCUUUUCAUGUGCCUGUUGGUCAUCUGUAUAUCUUCUUUGGAAAAAUGUCUAUUCAAGUCUU